rnacentral:SRP_RNA from 1 species
GCCAGGCAUGGUGGCGUGUGCCUGUAAUUCCAGCUACUCAGGAGGCUGAGGCAGGAGAAUCACUUGAACCCGGGAGGUGGAGGUUGCAGUGAGCUGAGAUCACACCACUGCACUCCAGCCUGGGUGACAGAGUGAGACUCUGUCUCAA